AUUGUGCGCAUGACGUUCUGGGAUAAAUCGACAUCAAAGGAUUUAUUUUGAUAUCAGUUACCUCUCGCCGGUAGUCGAGUAAAAUAUGUUAAUAAACAUGUCACCGUCCGGCUCAACUAUGGAAGAAAAGCUUUCAUCCAUAAUGGACGUACUUGCGAAAGCGGCUGUAUCUGAAAUUAGCCAACUGUUCUCGGAAGCGUCGGCUACUCUUCAGUUACAAAUCACUCAGAGCCGCGAAGAAAACGAAGCGCUGAGGACGAGGAUGAAGGAGAUGAGGAGUGAGCUGUUUUCUCUGCGGCUUCAAACAAGAUCGAAAGCAUCGGGUGCGGCAAUUCGUUUUGCUCUGACUCGUGACAACAUCUGCAAACCUGAGACUUCAUCACUGGGAAAUGGCCUAAAACCCCUGAUGGACCACAAGGCGGUUGGACAUUCCCCUUUUCAUUCACGAUCCAAAAGUGAGGCUUCCUCAGUUACAAGUCCAGCAGAGAAGACUGCGAUGCCUUUGGAGACCGCAGCACCCAGAGCGGAGCCACCUUGGAGAGUCUCCAUGUGGACGGCGCUGGCUCCUCCCACGUGUUCAGUCAAAACGCAGAGCUGCGGAUCCUGAGUGUCCACGGGCGGGGGGGGG
ensembl:lncRNA